rnacentral:rRNA from 1 species
UACGGAGGGUGCGAGCGUUGUCCGGAAUUAUUGGGCGUAAAGAGCUCGUAGGCGGUUUGUCGCGUCUGCUGUGAAAACCUAAGGCUCAACCUUGGGCUUGCAGUGGGUACGGGCAGACUAGAGUGCGGUAGGGGUGACUGGAAUUCCUGGUGUAGCGGUGGAAUGCGCAGAUAUCAGGAGGAACACCGAUGGCGAAGGCAGGUCACUGGGCCGCAACUGACGCUGAGGAGCGAAAGCAUGGGGAGCGAACAGG